CCUACGGGAGGCAGCAGUAGGGAAUCUUCCACAAUGGGCGAAAGCCUGAUGGAGCAACGCCGCGUGGGUGAAGAAGGUCUUCGGAUCGUAAACCCCUGUUGCUAGAGAAGAAAGUGCGUGAGAGUAACUGUUCACGUUUCGACGGUAUCUAACCAGAAAGCCACGGCUAACUACGUGCCAGCAGCCGCGGUAAUACGUAGGUGGCAAGCGUUAUCCGGAUUUAUUGGGCGUAAAGGGAACGCAGGCGGUCUUUUAAGUCUGAUGUGAAAGCCUCCGGCUUAACCGGAGUAGUGCAUUGGAAACUGGGAGACUUGAGUGCAGAAGAGGAGAGUGGAACUCCAUGUGUAGCGGUGAAAUGCGUAGAUAUAUGGAAGAACACCAGUGGCGAAAGCGGCUCUCUGGUCUGUAACUGACGCUGAGGUUCGAAAGCGUGGGUAGCAAACAGGAUUAGAUACCCGAGUAGUC
rnacentral:rRNA from 1 species